rnacentral:lncRNA from 1 species
GUCCACCAGAGAAGAUGACCGGAGCUAGGGCUCCGAUGGUGCGUUGUCAUCUUCCAAACCAUCAAAUCCCUUUGAAUUGUUUUAAUCCUAGCCUUUCCUUUAGAUUACCGCGCGCGUGAUGCAUUGACUGAGGCGCAUCAUGGAUAACACAUGCUUAACCACCUCAAUAAUGAGGGAGAUUUGAUGGCCCUUGUUUUUU